GCCUUCGUGGUGUAGUGGUCAGCACGCUGGGCGACUAUCCAGAGGUCUGUGGUUCGAGUCCCGACGAAGGCG
rnacentral:tRNA from 1 species